rnacentral:tRNA from 1 species
GGCUAGGUAGCUCAGUUGGUAGAGCGGUUGCUUGAAGCGUAGCGCGUCCCAGGUUCAAGUCCUGGUCUAGCCA